AUUGAACGCUGGCGGCAGGCCUAACACAUGCAAGUCGAGCGGCAGCGCGGAGCUAGCCCUGGGAUCGAGCGGCGGACGGGUGAGUAAUGCCUCGGAAUCUGCCUGGUUGUGGGGGAUAACGUACGGAAACGUGCGCUAAUACCGCAUACGUCCUGCGGGAGAAAGUGGGGGACCUCAGGACCUCACGCUGUAAGAUGAGCCUAGGACGGAUUAGCUAGUUGGUGGGGUAAAGGCCUACCAAGGCGACGAUCGGUAACUGGUCUGAGAGGAUGAUCAGCCACACUGGGACUGAGACACGGCCCAGACUCCUACGGGAGGCAGCAGUGGGGAAUAUUGGACAAUGGGCGCAAGCCUGAUCCAGCCAUGCCGCGUGUGUGAAGAAGGUCUUCGGGUUGUAAAGCACGUUUGUUCGGAAAGAAAUGCAUUGAGCUAAUACCUUCGGGGGAUGACGGUACCGGAAGAAUAAGCACCGGCUAACUUCGUG
rnacentral:rRNA from 1 species